UGGGGAAUUUUGGACAAUGGGGGAAACCCUGAUCCAGCCAUCCCGCGUGUGCGAUGAAGGCCUUCGGGUUGUAAAGCACUUUUGGCAGGAAAGAAACGUCAUGGGUUAAUACCCCGUGAAACUGACGGUACCUGCAGAAUAAGCACCGGCUAACUACGUGCCAGCAGCCGCGGUAAUACGUAGGGUGCAAGCGUUAAUCGGAAUUACUGGGCGUAAAGCGCGCGCAGGCGGUUCGGAAAGAAAGAUGUGAAAUCCCAGAGCUCAACUUUGGAACUGCAUUUUUAACUACCGGGCUAGAGUGUGUCAGAGGGAGGUGGAAUUCCGCGUGUAGCAGUGAAAUGCGUAGAUAUGCGGAGGAACACCGAUGGCGAAGGCAGCCUCCUGGGAUAACACAGACGCUCAUGCACGAAAGCGUGGGGAGCAAACAGG
rnacentral:rRNA from 1 species